UACGAAGGGGGCUAGCGUUGCUCGGAAUCACUGGGCGUAAAGCGCACGUAGGCGGAUCUUUAAGUCGGGGGUGAAAUCCUGGAGCUCAACUCCAGAACUGCCUUCGAUACUGUAGAUCUUGAGUUCGGGAGAGGUGAGUGGAACUGCGAGUGUAGAGGUGAAAUUCGUAGAUAUUCGCAAGAACACCAGUGGCGAAGGCGGCUCACUGGCCCGAUACUGACGCUGAGGUGCGAAAGCGUGGGGAGCAAACAGG
rnacentral:rRNA from 1 species